ACGUUAUAUAGAUAUAUAAAUGCAAGACAAUUUAGUAUCUCCCUUUAACGUGGUGUUUUUGAGAAAUAUAAGUGAUAAGUUUCAUUGUGUAGCUAUUUUUAGUUGAAAUGAAAUGAAUUUAUAUGGAAUAGGUUAACCGUAAGACCUUGUGUUGAAAAACAUUAAAAUUGAUCUAAAAAUGAGAUUUCUGAAAUUUCUUUAUUUUUAGUUACGGUUGA
ncrna:unclassified sequences IS605-orfB-I RNA